UGUAUGGUGGUGCAGUUGGUAGCACUGUCAACUUGCAAGAAGGUCCUGGGUUCGACUCCUGGCCAGGGGUCUAUUGCAU